rnacentral:lncRNA from 1 species
CCAGCGGCUCGUGCCAGAAGGCCACGUGGGGAGGGGUGCGGGGGAUGACAAUGCCUCAAAUCUGCCGCUUUUGUUGGGGUGUUACCAGGCAGACUGGAGCCUGCAGAUUUCAUCUCGCCUGGCUUUUUUUUUUUUUUGAAGUCCUUAAAAGGAAAAAGUAAAAAAAAAAAAAAAAGAAAAAACCCAACCCACAAAAACCUUGUUUGCUUAUAUGAUGCUGCAAUUUGCGAAAAGCACCUUUAUAGAAGCAAAGGGAUUUUUUUUUGCAUUUUGUAUUGCUACCUUUCUAUUUGUUUCUUUUCUUUAAUUUGAAGUCUAUGAGACUGUUGCAUUGGAGCCAGAAAUUAAGGUAAAAACAGGUAGCGCCAGUUAGAGGCUUGCAAAAGGCAGUGGGCACAGCCCCCUGCAGCUGACCACUAGCGUCCCGAGCGCGCUGGUGAUGCCUGCCAGGCAUACUCAAUGUGUACAUUGAGCCGUCUCUGGAAGAUCCCACCCCACCUCCCCGCCCUUGGCCGAGCGCGGCGGGGCGCGGGAGACGGGGGCGGGCGGGGACGAGCAGAUUGCGGCCGGCGCACGCCGCUCGUUUGCAUUUCUAUGGAGGGCGCACAAUAGCAGAGGUCUGGCGUGUGGCGGUUUGCUGUAGGGACAAUCGAGGCUUUCUCUUCAUAGCAACACUGUCCACCUGCCGCCGGGUGGGGUGGGCAGGACCCCGCCGCGCGUGGGGGUCGCCGGGCUGCCUGGCGCGUGGGGUCGAGGCUGAGUGCCACUCCGUGGUCCCUGAGUGCACGCCCCCAGUACUGGCCCUGCUACAAGUAAUUCCCUUCCAUCCGUUCCUCGCACGGGUGCCGAACAGCCGCGCGAGUUGGGAAGGACGGAGAGCUGCUGUGCAGUCUUCGCGGCUGGACGCCCUGUGGCCGGGACCCCGCGGCUGCAGCCCCUGGAGCUUAGGUAAUGCAGCUCGGAAUCUUUCCCGGGGCGCCAUCUGCAGGCAGGUUAAAAAGAUCCUGAACCCCUUUUGUCCUCCCCUCCCCCCAACACACACACCCUUGCAUUGGCCUGGCGCGGGGGAAGGGCGGUGGAGAGGGACGGCCACGGAGCUGCCCGGCCGGGCCCAGUGAGCCCUGUCCAAGCUGCGCAUAAAUAGAACCCGAGUAAGGGCUGCAAAACGCAUUCAGGUGGGACUGCAGUUACCCUGGGGAGUAGAGGGCAAAAGGAAAUUCCCAUCCAGUACUGAUGGAGUAAGAGCCCCUACGUCUUAUACCAUGUUGAAAUAUCUUAAUUACUUAAAUGCGCAUAUGUAAAAAGCCUUUUUUCCGGCAAUGGAAUAAGUCUGGAAGAGAUCUUGGGAGAGUUUAAUAGGCUAGAGGUUGCUGCCGUUUGACCAUACACGCUGGCACUUUCAGAGGAUUCACCCACUGAGCACCUUCUGUGCUACGUGAAAAGGCGCGCUGGGGGACACCUCAUUGCUUCCUUUUUUUGGGUGAAGCCUUGGAGACUGGCCAGGACAGUGGCGGGCCGGGUGGAUUGGAUGGAAACCCGGGCCCUGCCGCAAGACUGGGGCGAUAAUGGGAAAGUAAACAACGCCGUGGCUUUGUUCCUUUCAUUCAGGCUUUCUUCAGGUGGGUGGUGAAUGUACAAGGUACUUCUGAAUUUGUUAUGGGGAAGUUUCCAUUCUGCGCUUGCAGGCAGGCACUUCUGCCAAGGUGAGAAGCUGGCGUCUUGCGCCCCCCAGCGGCUUCCUGGCAGAGGAGAGCUGCAAAAGCCCGGCCCUUCCUGGAUUCUAAGAAUGAAGAGCUUGCUCUCCUAGCAUUUCUGAACUCCAGAGGUGUCUCCUAAGGACGGGGGGAGAGGGGAGGGGGAAGCGGAGCCAGGCGGCAUUAUGCCCCGUUUGUUCGCUAGUUUCUUUUCUUUCUUGAUGUAUAAAAUGAUGAUAUGCCUUGAUUGGAUAAAAUAUGUUAAUUUUAAGUGAUUGGAAUAUAGGUAUUACUCUUUUAAAACUAUUAAACUUUUCUUUUCUUUUCUUUUCUUUUUUGAGACGGAGUCUCGCUCGGUUGCCCAGGCUGGAGUGCGGUGGCACAAUCUCGGCUCACUGCAACCUCCGCCUCCCGGGUUCAAGCGAUCCUUCUGCUUCAGCCUCCCGAGUAGCUGGGACUACAGGGUGAAGCAUGAAUCUGCACAUGGGGAGGCUUCAGAGGACAACUGAGACAAGAAGCAGGAAGCUGAGAAAGGAGGACACCUCCCACACACACAUCUAGCAAAAGCUGGACAUUUCUGGUCAGUCAUCCUUAUGCAAAGACUUUCUGGAAGGAGCAGUUAUUCUUGGUAAGAAAUGAUUCAUGGCACCUGUCACAGUCCUAGGUAGUGACAGACACCAGCCUGCACUGUAGCUGAAAACCCCUGAGAAGCCACAGAUGUGCAGUCUUCCCAGCUUGACUACAUGCCCAAGUCUUCUGAACCUUAGUUUCCCAACCUAGGAAAUAAAAAUUGUGCCCUUUACCCCUCAUGAACCUUAUUGGGGUCUUAUAAGAUUGCUCCUGGUUGCCAUUUGGCCCACAGAUGGGUUUAGUUUGGUGGACAGUGUCCCGAAAGACUUACAAAUUCAGAUCUGACUUGUUCAUUUGUGUAGGGGAGAGUUGGUGGCACACAUCCUCUCUGUCACUGUAAGUAUGUUCCAAAUGUCACAUUAGGUCCACUGGCACGUGUAAGCCCUGUCUGGCAUUUGCCUGGUCCCUGCAGGCAUUUGGGUUGGCAGUAAACUUUCUUUUCUAACAGAUUUCUGGAAAUGUUUACAUGUAGCAUAUAAUAGAAUAAUAGAACCACAGAACUUCCACAGUAAAGCCUUCCUUCUUUUAUGUUCCAAAAGCUAAAAUGUACUAACAACCUCCAAAAGGCACUAUGACAUUGGAGUUUAAACUUUGUGGAGCAGGACUCAAAGCUGGACUUAGCUGCUUGCUAACUUUGACCUUGAGUGAAGAGUUAGCAGAUGAUUUAAAGUGUAAAGUAGAAAGAAUUCAUGCUGGUUAGCCCAUUAAAUACCCGUUAAUUAAGCUCUCCAAAAACGCCAUUCAAAAAUGUAUAUGAUAAUCAAAUAUUUAUUGCAAUGUUUCUUAAAAUAGUGAAAAAUUAGAAAACAUUAUAGGGGGCUAGUGUUAAAUCAUGGUGUAACCAGAAAUGAAACAUUAUGCAACCAUAAAAAGGAGUUCUGAAGAGUAGUUCCCGGCAUGAUAUAAUGUGAAAAAAAGCAAAAUACGAAAUUGUGCAAUUCUAAUUUUGCAAAAACUUUCAGCGUACACGACUAUCACUGUAUAAAGUCACAAAGUAGGAAUGGUGAUUGUAUCUUGGAGUGAUGAGAUUAUAAGUGAUUUUUAAUUUUCUUCACUAUGCUUUACUGCAAUUAAACAUUUACAAUUCAAUUUUAUUUAACAAAAAUAUAUAAAACUUCUCAAAUGGAGUAACUUCAGUACCAGACAUCCUCAACCUGACUGCUCUGGAGGUUAUUGUGCAGAGCAAUCUUUGACCAUAUGGUCACAGAUCCAGAAGCCAGACGUCUGUGGGGCUUUGCUCCUGAGACUGUGACCUUUGAUUCCUGCACUCCUCCUCUUGCCAUCUGACGCCGGUCUGCGCCUGUGACUGAGUGAAAAUCGUCAUAACUGUACUCGGAGGUUAACUCUGGCAUGACUGGGAUGGAAUCCCAGGCAACAUGCUGGAGGCAGGAAAGAAGGCCAGCCGGCAAGUCAGAACCAAACACCCUGGACGGCACCUUUCCUUACAAAUGCGGUUCACAGGACCCUUGGGGAUCCUCUGCGCACACUGAGGCAAGCAGCAAUGGAAGAAAUUAUCUUCCACUCCCUUCUUGUUGAAAAUGUCUGUUUUCCAGAAAUGAAUUACAGUAAUAGAUUAUGAAAAUUGUUUCCAUUGCCUACAUAACACAGCAGGGAAUUCUAAAAUUUCAAAACAUGUAAUAUACUCAACCUGUGCUUGAGACUGUAGGGUAUUA